rnacentral:rRNA from 1 species
AGCGCAUACGGUGGAUGCCUUGGCAGUCAGAGGCGAUGAAAGACGUGGUAGCCUGCGAAAAGCUUCGGGGAGUCGGCAAACAGACUGUGAUCCGGAGAUGUCUGAAUGGGGGAACCCAGCCAUCAUAAGAUGGUUAUCUUGUACUGAAUACAUAGGUGCAAGAGGCGAACCAGGGGAACUGAAACAUCUAAGUACCCUGAGGAAAAGAAAUCAACCGAGAUUCCCUUAGUAGUGGCGAGCGAACGGGGACCAGCCCUUAAGUUGUAUUGAGAUUAGCGGAACGUUCUGGAAAGGACGGCCAUAGUGGGUGAUAGCCCUGUACGCGAAAAUCCCUUUGCAAUGAAAUCGAGUAGGACGGGGCACGAGAAACCUUGUCUGAAUAUGGGGGGACCAUCCUCCAAGGCUAAAUACUACUGACUGACCGAUAGUGAACCAGUACCGUGAGGGAAAGGCGAAAAGAACCGCGGAGAGCGGAGUGAAAUAGAUCCUGAAACUGUAUGCGUACAAGCAGUGGGAGCCCACUUUGUUGGGUGACUGCGUACCUUUUGUAUAAUGGGUCAGCGACUUAUUUUCAGUGGCGAGCUUAACCGAAUAGGGGAGGCGUAGCGAAAGCGAGUCUUAAUAGGGCGUCUAGUCGCUGGGAAUAGACCCGAAACCGGGCGAUCUAUCCAUGGGCAGGUUGAAGGUUGGGUAACACUAACUGGAGGACCGAACCGACUACCGUUGAAAAGUUAGCGGAUGACCUGUGGAUCGGAGUGAAAGGCUAAUCAAGCUCGGAGAUAGCUGGUUCUCCUCGAAAGCUAUUUAGGUAGCGCCUCAUGUAUCACUGUAGGGGGUAGAGCACUGUUUCGGCUAGGGGGUCAUCCCGACUUACCAAACCGAUGCAAACUCCGAAUACCUACAAGUGCCGAGCAUGGGAGACACACGGCGGGUGCUAACGUCCGUCGUGAAAAGGGAAACAACCCAGACCGUCAGCUAAGGUCCCAAAGUCAUGGUUAAGUGGGAAACGAUGUGGGAAGGCUUAGACAGCUAGGAGGUUGGCUUAGAAGCAGCCACCCUUUAAAGAAAGCGUAAUAGCUCACUAGUCGAGUCGGCCUGCGCGGAAGAUGUAACGGGGCUCAAACCAUGCACCGAAGCUACGGGUAUCAUCUUUUGAUGAUGCGGUAGAGGAGCGUUCUGUAAGCCUGUGAAGGUGAGUUGAGAAGCUUGCUGGAGGUAUCAGAAGUGCGAAUGCUGACAUGAGUAACGACAAUGGGUGUGAAAAACACCCACGCCGAAAGACCAAGGUUUCCUGCGCAACGUUAAUCGACGCAGGGUUAGUCGGCCCCUAAGGCGAGGCUGAAAAGCGUAGUCGAUGGAAAACAGGUUAAUAUUCCUGUACUUCUGGUUAUUGCGAUGGAGGGACGGAGAAGGCUAGGCCAGCCUGGCGUUGGUUGUCCAGGUUUAAGGUGGUAGGCUGAGAUCUUAGGUAAAUCCGGGAUUUCAAGGCCGAGAGCUGAUGACGAGUGUUCUUUAGAACACGAAGUGGUUGAUGCCAUGCUUCCAAGAAAAGCUUCUAAGCUUCAGGUAACCAGGAACCGUACCCCAAACCGACACAGGUGGUUGGGUAGAGAAUACCAAGGCGCUUGAGAGAACUCGGGUGAAGGAACUAGGCAAAAUGGCACCGUAACUUCGGGAGAAGGUGCGCCGGUGAGGGUGAAGCAUUUACUGCGUAAGCCCACGCCGGUCGAAGAUACCAGGCCGCUGCGACUGUUUAUUAAAAACACAGCACUCUGCAAACACGAAAGUGGACGUAUAGGGUGUGACGCCUGCCCGGUGCCGGAAGGUUAAUUGAUGGGGUUAGCGCAAGCGAAGCUCUUGAUCGAAGCCCCGGUAAACGGCGGCCGUAACUAUAACGGUCCUAAGGUAGCGAAAUUCCUUGUCGGGUAAGUUCCGACCUGCACGAAUGGCGUAACGAUGGCGGCGCUGUCUCCACCCGAGACUCAGUGAAAUUGAAAUCGCUGUGAAGAUGCAGUGUAUCCGCGGCUAGACGGAAAGACCCCGUGAACCUUUACUAUAGCUUUGCACUGGACUUUGAAUUUGCUUGUGUAGGAUAGGUGGGAGGCUUUGAAGCGUGGACGCCAGUCUGCGUGGAGCCAACCUUGAAAUACCACCCUGGCAACUUUGAGGUUCUAACUCAGGUCCGUUAUCCGGAUCGAGGACAGUGUAUGGUGGGUAGUUUGACUGGGGCGGUCUCCUCCUAAAGAGUAACGGAGGAGUACGAAGGUGCGCUCAGACCGGUCGGAAAUCGGUCGUAGAGUAUAAAGGCAAAAGCGCGCUUGACUGCGAGACAGACACGUCGAGCAGGUACGAAAGUAGGUCUUAGUGAUCCGGUGGUUCUGUAUGGAAGGGCCAUCGCUCAACGGAUAAAAGGUACUCCGGGGAUAACAGGCUGAUACCGCCCAAGAGUUCAUAUCGACGGCGGUGUUUGGCACCUCGAUGUCGGCUCAUCACAUCCUGGGGCUGAAGCCGGUCCCAAGGGUAUGGCUGUUCGCCAUUUAAAGUGGUACGCGAGCUGGGUUUAGAACGUCGUGAGACAGUUCGGUCCCUAUCUGCCGUGGACGUUUGAGAUUUGAGAGGGGCUGCUCCUAGUACGAGAGGACCGGAGUGGACGAACCUCUGGUGUUCCGGUUGUCACGCCAGUGGCAUUGCCGGGUAGCUAUGUUCGGAAAAGAUAACCGCUGAAAGCAUCUAAGCGGGAAACUUGCCUCAAGAUGAGAUCUCACUGGAACCUUGA